rnacentral:misc_RNA from 1 species
ACGAGUUACAAGUCGGUCGACCGUGCUGGCGGAAACGCACGUGCACGUCGGUCGCAAAACCUCAUCCACACACCUGUGAACGUAUGGCCUUUGGGUUCUCUGGACCCGAGGGCAAACCAUUUUUUACCCACUCUGUUUGUAAAGGAAUGUCACUUGCGUUUACGCAAAAAGUAA